ACGCUCGACACCUACGGGAGGUAGCAGUGGGGAAUAUUGCACAAUGGGGGAAACCCUGAUGCAGCGACGCCGCGUGAGCGAAGAAGUAUUUCGGUAUGUAAAGCUCUAUCAGCAGGGAAGAAAAUGACGGUACCUGACUAAGAAGCCCCGGCUAACUACGUGCCAGCAGCCGCGGUAAUCUGAGCGGGCUGGCAAGGC
rnacentral:rRNA from 1 species